CUUCCAGAGGCAAGAGAGUCAAUUUACAAGCCAGAGUCCCAGACAGUCCCACCCGGCUAAACAGUCAGGAGCCUACUGUUCUUUCUUGUUGUUCCUUGUUUGGGUGAUAGAAUUGGGAAAAGGCUACUUUUAUAUUUUGGAUAUCUUUCUCAGGCCAAAUUGUAGACAUAGGAAUGGGCCGGAGGAACAAGCCAAGGGCAACAAGACCAGAAAUAGGUGAUAAAUUGGUAACACUUGACCCUCAUCCAAUGGUUGUGGGAGCAGUGAAAUGUGUACUACCCAGGAAGACUGCCUUAAACUUACUUAAGGCGUGUGAAGUAACCACAAACAUCCGAAGUCCUGUCUCCAAUAUGUAUGAGAGAUUAGAUAAUAGAGUGGUGAAAAUCUGUGUCAAUCUAUGGCCUGUCCUGGCUUCAGCCAAAGAGCCUGUAGAGGAAAGCAGUAGUUCACUGGAUGAAGAGGAACCUGGGACCAGCACAGAUACAAGGACCUUCAACACAUCAAAGUCUGGUGAGCAGCGUCCGAGAGACCAAGAAAGGAGACCCCAUGUUAGACAAGAAUUGGACAGGGCUAAAGCAAGCUGUCUAGUGAAGCCUAUUUUACUACCACCCAUAAGUAAACUAUCCCUUACAACACGACUAGCACAUUCAGAGUGCACGGGAAUGCCAGUGCCACAAACAUCUCUGCCACAGACAUGUAUAUCAGACCAAGAUGCCUUGGUCAAGUCCUCCAAGGGGACAAAAGCCAUUGAGAAUAAGGCACCAUUUCCCAUGAUCCUAUUGCAGAAGACCAGCACUUUGAUGGACAGCACCAUUAUCUCCCAAUGUAGGUCUGCCCAGGUUCACCUCCCUGAGAUCUCAGUGUCCAGUAUAGAAGGCCUGCUUCAGAGAGUUGCAGAGCGAGUGGGAAGGAGAGAGAGAAAGAGGGAUGAGACAUCGGGACUGACCAAUCCUGAUCAUCUUCUCAUGGCUGGCACGCUGCGAAACCUGAGAGAGAAGAGGCUCCAGCAUUGGGGAGACUAUAGCUCAGAGGGAGCGGUAAGAUGUCCAGAGGUCAAGCCAAUUGGUGGACAGAAAGGGACCACUCUAGUAACAGAGAAUGGAAUGCAGAACCCUGCCUC